UGGGUUCACUAUCGUGCCACUAUGAUCUCACUGAAAUUUCACCAUGAUUUCGAAGUAAUUCUGAAUCCGCGAGGGACAGAACUCGAAUUUCGACUCGGGUGGCUUUUUAAUCGAAUGCCACAAGUUAACCAGAACCUCCGAAUGAUAACUUGUGACUUUCAAUUGGAGUUGUUGUCUUCAUUACAAUUAAUCAUGCCAUGGGUUCGUCAUUAUGGUUCUUGGUUUCAUGUUGCUCGGGCUAUUACUCGAGCAUGGAGAACCUUAAGACUUCCAAGUCGACGUGACCCACAGAGUCAUGUAUUGAAUCUAUCAUGGGCAUUACCGUUAGUAAGUUCUAAUCACUUACAGGAAGCUACCGCUAUUAUUUUUAAUUUGUUGCAAACUCUUGACGCUAACAACAACAUUGAAUUAUUUCGGCAAUACUUCCCUUAUUAAAAGAAACGAUUUAAAACGAUUAGAAAAAAAAAAAAUUUUCAAUACUUUUUAAUGCUUUUGAAUACGUUGAAUACUUUUGAAUCGCCCUUCUUAUGGGCAUUUAACAUUGCAAAUCGUUUUGAAUCGUUUCUUAUAAUCAGGGUUGCAAAAUUUUAUCGUACCACUUGCACCAGUUUUAUCAACUUGGGAUAGACCGUGGCGGAUUAACAAUAUAGCUGAAAAUUUUAACCAGAAUCUUGUUACGAGGUUGGGUGGAUAACAUCCUCCACUCUUUCAAUUUUCAACACAAUUGAAUAAAGUGAUUGAAGACGGUGAAGUGGCUUGGUUACGAUUAGAAAAUGGAUUGAAUAGGAGACCUAGACUGUCAAGACAACAACUAUCCAACGAUUAUCUUGUCGGACUACACAACGGUUUACAAGCAGGACAGCAUCCUGUACGUGAUUUUAUGGAGGCUGCUGUCGUUCGAAACCAACAUGUUCAGUUACAACUAGACUUGGCGGUCUCAAGACCUCAAAGUAUCAAAAUUAAUACACUUGAAAAAUAAAAUUAUUACCCAAGUAACACAUCCUUGAGCAAGAUUCUGGUGCCAGUGCCUUUAGCAAAACCCCUAGUCACUAGUGUCCUUUUCUACGUAUGGGACUUGCGCAAGAUCAUGUAGCAAGAAAUCGUCAUCAAGACUUGUGCGUAACUUGCUCAAGGCAUUGUACACAAGAAUAUUGAAGAUAUCUUAGAUGCGGUGCAGUUUAAAAGUUUCUGAGGCAUUACUUGCACCAGUAACUUAU